GGGUUGUGAGGUUAAGCGACUAAGCGUACACGGUGGAUGCCCUGGCAGUCAGAGGCGAUGAAGGACGUGCUAAUCUGCGAAAAGCGUCGGUAAGGUGAUAUGAACCGUUACAGCCGGCGAUGUCCGAAUGGGGAAACCCAGUGUGAUUCGUCACACUAUCGUUAACUGAAUACAUAGGUUAACGAGGCGAACCGGGGGAACUGAAACAUCUAAGUACCCCGAGGAAAAGAAAUCAACCGAGAUUCCCCCAGUAGCGGCGAGCGAACGGGGAGCAGCCCAGAGUCUGAAUCAGCUUGUGUGUUAGUGGAACGGUCUGGAAAGUCCGACGGUACAGGGUGAUAGUCCCGUACACCAAAAUGCACAGGCUGUGAACUCGAAGAGUAGGGCGGGACACGUGGUAUCCUGUCUGAAUAUGGGGGGACCAUCCUCCAAGGCUAAAUACUCCUGACUGACCGAUAGUGAACCAGUACCGUGAGGGAAAGGCGAAAAGAACCCCGGCGAGGGGAGUGAAAAAGAACCUGAAACCGUGUACGUACAAGCAGUGGGAGCACCUUCGGGUGUGACUGCGUACCUUUUGUAUAAUGGGUCAGCGACUUAUAUUCUGUAGCAAGGUUAACCGUAUAGGGGAGCCGCAGGGAAACCGAGUCUUAACUGGGCGUUAAGUUGCAGGGUAUAGACCCGAAACCCGGUGAUCUAGCCAUGGGCAGGUUGAAGGUUGGGUAACACUAACUGGAGGACCGAACCGACUAAUGUUGAAAAAUUAGCGGAUGACUUGUGGCUGGGGGUGAAAGGCCAAUCAAACCGGGAGAUAGCUGGUUCUCCCCGAAAGCUAUUUAGGUAGCGCCUCGUGAAUUCAUCUUCGGGGGUAGAGCACUGUUUCGGCUAGGGGGUCAUCCCGACUUACCAACCCGAUGCAAACUACGAAUACCGAAGAAUGUUAUCACGGGAGACACACGGCGGGUGCUAACGUCCGUCGUGAAGAGGGAAACAACCCAGACCGCCAGCUAAGGUCCCAAAGUCAUGGUUAAGUGGGAAACGAUGUGGGAAGGCACAGACAGCCAGGAUGUUGGCUUAGAAGCAGCCAUCAUUUAAAGAAAGCGUAAUAGCUCACUGGUCGAGUCGGCCUGCGCGGAAGAUGUAACGGGGCUAAACCAUGCACCGAAGCUGCGGCAGCGACACUAUGUGUUGUUGGGUAGGGGAGCGUUCUGUAAGCCUGCGAAGGUGACCUGUGAGGGUUGCUGGAGGUAUCAGAAGUGCGAAUGCUGACAUAAGUAACGAUAAAGCGGGUGAAAAGCCCGCUCGCCGGAAGACCAAGGGUUCCUGUCCAACGUUAAUCGGGGCAGGGUGAGUCGACCCCUAAGGCGAGGCCGAAAGGCGUAGUCGAUGGGAAACAGGUUAAUAUUCCUGUACUUGGUGUUACUGCGAAGGGGGGACGGAGAAGGCUAUGUUAGCCGGGCGACGGUUGUCCCGGUUUAAGCAUGUAGGCUGAUUAUCCAGGCAAAUCCGGAUAAUCAAGGCUGAGGUGUGAUGACGAGGCACUACGGUGCUGAAGUAACAAAUGCCCUGCUUCCAGGAAAAGCCUCUAAGCAUCAGGUAACAUCAAAUCGUACCCCAAACCGACACAGGUGGUCAGGUAGAGAAUACCAAGGCGCUUGAGAGAACUCGGGUGAAGGAACUAGGCAAAAUGGUGCCGUAACUUCGGGAGAAGGCACGCUGGUGUGUAGGUGAAGUCCCUGCGGAUGGAGCUGAGACCAGUCGAAGAUACCAGCUGGCUGCAACUGUUUAUUAAAAACACAGCACUGUGCAAACACGAAAGUGGACGUAUACGGUGUGACGCCUGCCCGGUGCCGGAAGGUUAAUUGAUGGGGUUAUCCGUAAGGAGAAGCUCUUGAUCGAAGCCCCGGUAAACGGCGGCCGUAACUAUAACGGUCCUAAGGUAGCGAAAUUCCUUGUCGGGUAAGUUCCGACCUGCACGAAUGGCGUAAUGAUGGCCAGGCUGUCUCCACCCGAGACUCAGUGAAAUUGAACUCGCUGUGAAGAUGCAGUGUACCCGCGGCAAGACGGAAAGACCCCGUGAACCUUUACUAUAGCUUGACACUGAACAUUGAGCCUUGAUGUGUAGGAUAGGUGGGAGGCUUUGAAGCGUGGACGCCAGUCUGCGUGGAGCCAACCUUGAAAUACCACCCUUUAAUGUUUGAUGUUCUAACGUUGGCCCCUGACCGGGGUUGCGGACAGUGUCUGGUGGGUAGUUUGACUGGGGCGGUCUCCUCCCAAAGCGUAACGGAGGAGCACGAAGGUUAGCUAAUCCUGGUCGGACAUCAGGAGGUUAGUGCAAUGGCAUAAGCUAGCUUGACUGCGAGCGUGACGGCGCGAGCAGGUGCGAAAGCAGGUCAUAGUGAUCCGGUGGUUCUGAAUGGAAGGGCCAUCGCUCAACGGAUAAAAGGUACUCCGGGGAUAACAGGCUGAUACCGCCCAAGAGUUCAUAUCGACGGCGGUGUUUGGCACCUCGAUGUCGGCUCAUCACAUCCUGGGGCUGAAGUAGGUCCCAAGGGUAUGGCUGUUCGCCAUUUAAAGUGGUACGCGAGCUGGGUUUAGAACGUCGUGAGACAGUUCGGUCCCUAUCUGCCGUGGGCGCUGGAGAAUUGAGGGGGGCUGCUCCUAGUACGAGAGGACCGGAGUGGACGCAUCACUGGUGUUCGGGUUGUCAUGCCAAUGGCACUGCCCGGUAGCUAAAUGCGGAAGAGAUAAGUGCUGAAAGCAUCUAAGCACGAAACUUGCCCCGAGAUGAGUUCUCCCUGAGACUUUAAGUCUCCUGAAGGAACGUUGAAGACGAUGACGUUGAUAGGCCGGGUGUGUAAGCGCAGCGAUGCGUUGAGCUAACCGGUACUAAUGAACCGUGAGGCUUAACCUUACAACGCCGAAG
rnacentral:rRNA from 1 species